rnacentral:rRNA from 2 species
GGAUGCGAUCAUACCAGCACUAAAGCACCGGAUCCCAUCAGAACUUCGAAGUUAAGCGUGCUUGGGCGAGAGUAGUACUAGGAUGGGUGACCUCCUUGGAAGUCCUCAUGUUGCAUUCC